UUUGAAACUUGAAUUAUUUCAACCUCAGAUCAAGUAGGAUUACCCGCUGAACUUAAGCAUAUCAAUAAGCGGAGGAAAAGAAACCAACAGGGAUUGCCUUAGUAACGGCGAGUGAAGCGGCAAAAGCUCAAAUUUGAAAUCGGCCAACCGGUCGAGUUGUAAUUUGUAGAUUGUACCUUGAGAGCAGAUCAAAGUCUGUUGGAACACAGCGCCUUAGAGGGUGACAGCCCCGUAAGAUCUUUUCUCAUUGUAAGGUACUCUCGAAGAGUCGAGUUGUUUGGGAAUGCAGCUCUAAGUGGGAGGUAAAUUCCUUCUAAAGCUAAAUAUUGACGAGAGACCGAUAGCGAACAAGUACUGUGAAGGAAAGAUGAAAAGCACUUUGAAAAGAGAGUGAAAAAGUACGUGAAAUUGUUAAAAGGGAAGGGUAUUGAAUCAGACGUGGUGCUGUUGUUCAGCUUUGCUUCGGCAUGGUGUACUCAACAGUACUAGGCCAAGGUGGGGUGUUUGGGAGUGAAAAAGAAAUAGGAAUGUGGCUCUUCGGAGUGUUAUAACCUAUUUUCAUAACUCCUCAGGCGCCUCAGGACUGCGCUUCGGCAAGGACAUUGGCAUAAUGAUUCUAUACCGCCCGU
rnacentral:rRNA from 1 species